rnacentral:lncRNA from 1 species
GAAGGCACGGAAGGGACAUGCCACAGCACGAGAAAAGAGAACGGAUCCAACGUAUGAGUACGUUGGAAAGCUAGUCCAGGAGGCGAUGGCCAGCAACGAGCAGUGCACGUCCCUCGAUGAGGCAGCAAUAGCCAAGAAGCGCAUCUUUCCGGCACCCAUGAAUGCCGCCUUUACAAGGCCUUCCAAAAGGGAACUCGUGGAGGAAAAGAGGUCCCGGUUCGGCCAGGUUACCCCGUGAGGGACCUCCUCAAAUCCCUCCUGUCACCCGUGCACUCGAUGGACACCUGCCUCGGCCAAGCGGGCGUUAGGGGGCAUGGUUAACACAUCGAAGGCACGGAAGGGACAUGCC